rnacentral:piRNA from 1 species
UUACAGGACGAAAUCAGUUACAAACUCUGC